AGUAGACCAAAAAUAUUGAAUAGACGAGAGAGUACAUAUACCAAAUAAGAUAGAUGUGUAUUAUCAAAGAUUAGAUUAAUACAACAUAGCCAAUCGUGAAAUUUCGAUACAAGACUCGACUACACACGAUUUUAAAAGAAACACAGGAAAACAGAAAGUAACAACUGAUAUAAUAUAAUCAAUCGUCAAAUUUCGAAACAAGACUCGAGUACAUACGAUUUUAAACGAAACACAGAAAAAAGAGAAAGUGACAACUGAUACAACAUAGAAAGAAAGGAUCCAUAAGCAAGAUCAAUGCUAUCUAUCUUAUUCUUAAUUCUCCUCAUGAAACCAAAUUCUGAUGAUCAGCUUUACUGAACUUUAGAGCAGUCAGUAGAGGGGCUGAUCUUGUAAGGGAUGUUGACACUACAAGUGUUAGGGAGAGCAGCAGCUUUGCCCAAAUUGAGUCCUGUAAAAGAAGAAGCAGCUGAUUUUAGGCAAGUGCAUGCGGCCUGUCGGUCUACUGUAGUCUUGGCUUGACCCAAAAGACCCUUAACACCAUCACAACAGUUUCUGAGAGGACCGCGGUUCAUUAGAUAAGGGAGACAAGGAGCCAAGGUAGAUGUAACUUGACCACAAGUUAAAGCCUCUGCAUGGGGUGCAACCACUACCAUGCAUAAAAGCACAAAGCAUGCAAUCUUGUUAACCAUUUCCAUUCUUAAUGAUUUAUGAAAAUUAGAAUAGUAAUUAUGAGGUUUAUGAGGAAGUAGUGGUUGUGGAUCUGGCUGCAAGUGUGGCAGUGGCUGUGGAGGAUGUGGUAUGUACCCGGAUAUGGAGAAGUCCACUACCUUUACCAUCAUUGAAGGUGUUGCACCUAUCAACAAUUAUGGAAAUGUUGAGGAGAAAGCAGCUGGAGAAGGAUGCAAAUGUGGAUCAAACUGCACUUGUGACCCUUGCAAUUGCUAAGUUGAUAUAUUCCAUGUGUGUCUCUAUUAAAAUUUAAAACUAUGCUUUUAUAAUUUUCUGUAAUAAUAAUGAUAAGACUACGUGUCUUUCUCUAAUUGGUAUAUUUCUGGAGUGUGAUUUGAGGUUGUAACAAAAAUGCAUUAUUUGUCACAUCAUCUAUAUAUACCAUUUAAGUUUGUU
rnacentral:misc_RNA from 1 species